GUCGUGAAGCAAAUUAAGUGCCUCAAAUUGACUAACGGAAUAAGGAAUUUCAGUAUCCAACAGAAUCCUUAUUUUAGUAGCUUACACCAAACGGAGCAGAUGUAACAGCAACAAAUGGACAGCCAUUGCCAAAAAUGCAAAUAAUACAACAUGCUGCUUGAUCAUGUCAAUCAAACAUGUUAAUUAGCUAAUUGAAUCAGUUUUGUUUCUGAUUGUACAAUUGCUUUCAAAUAAUCAUAUAAUGCUGUGGAAUUGGCUAAUGGCAAUAUUC
rnacentral:misc_RNA from 1 species